UUCAGAUUCUCUCUCUUUUUUGAUAUCUUUGGAGUUUCAAAGUUAGUUUGUAACAAAUAAUAUCAACUCUCUUUGGCAUUCUCCAUUUGUGUGGAUAUAGUAGUUGGACUAGUUUUCCAAGCCUGGUUCCAUGUAACUAAUAAAUGAAAAAUUGCAUUAUGGAAAGUGAUACUAAAUUUGUUUUCGAAGUUUGAUCUAGUGUGCUAGUCAUAUUUCACUAAUUCUUUCAAGGUAUUUCUAUUUUAUGAGUUUAUAGCAUAUUGUUAUCUGAAAUUAUUUUCUCAUUCAAAAGUAAAAAGUUCAGAUUUUGAUUGUGUCGAUCAAUCACCAACCAUAUAUUUUCGGUGUCUGAUUUAGAAUGAUAUUUACUUGAUCGAAGGCAUGAUUUAAGAAAAGUGAAAUCAAGGCUUUUCACAUGCAGCUUCCAAUUAGUUUUAUGUAAUUGCAAUUAUUUUCUUCUUUCAUUUGAUCAGUUUCUUAUUGAGUUACCACUACAUUAUAAUUAACCUGAGAAAUAUUAGCCCUUAUUUAUUGUUAUUGUAAAAUUCAUGCCUAAAUUUGUUCCUGCAGGUAUUGAGUAGAGUUUCCUCCGGUGGAACCAUACCCUGUUCCAAUAUGCAUAUAACUUAGCCAGCUCAUCAGUUGAAACUUUGCAUUUGCAUUUUCAUUGGCAGUAGUCUUAUGACUACUGAAAGGUUUAAAUAACAAGAAGUUGGGAUAUCUGAAGUAGUGUCUUCCAAAAGACGAAGCACAAGCUUGACUUUAUAAAGCACAUUGUGUGGGCUAUCUAUCCAAAGGUGAUAUUGGAGAAUGGCAGCCUAAUGGAGCAAUGAAAAUUAUAGACAGGAAAAAGAACAUAUUUAAACUGUCUCAAGGUGAAUAUGUUGCUGUGGAAAGCAUUGAAAGCAAAUACUUGCAAUUGCCCCCUUAUCACAUCGAUAUGGGUUUAUGGGAACACCUUCGAGUCAUUUCUUGUUGCUGUGGUUGAUCCUGACAGAAAGGCCUUGGAGGACUGAGCAUCAUUUGACUGAUGACUUCAAAUCAUUGUGUCAAAACCUGAAGGCAAGAAAAUACAUUCUGGAUGAGCUCAAUAGCACGGUUUAGACACAGCAAGUAUGUGGUCCAUCGCUGUUGGUAAAUUUAUGCUAUGUUGAUUAAUUAGUCAUCUGACUUAAAACACAUUUACAUUGCAGCCUCGAGGGUUUGAGUUGUUAAAAGCAGUUCAUUUGGAAGCUAACCUCUUUUGACAUAGAGAGGGAUCUCAUGACUCCAACUUUCAUUGGAUUCUUCAUUUGAAUGACAUGUUGAAUAUUUAUGUAUUUGAUAUGGAUGUGAAAUAGCUAAUUAUCAGUUUUUGGUUGUUGGAUUUAUUAAAACAACAUGAGGCUACUUUACAGAUGGUAAGAAACACAUCCAGUUUACAGUUUUGGUUAAGAAAUCUGUGUUUGUGGAGGACCACAGCAUUUGAAGCAUAUUUGAUACAAUGUGGAGCUUUAAUGCAUUUAUAGGCAUGUU